rnacentral:lncRNA from 1 species
GUGUAUUUUACAUGAUAUUAUAGAUAUUAAUACUUUUAAUUUUGACUGUUUUAUGAAUUGUGUAUUGGCAUAUCGUACUCUGGCUUGCAUGGAUUUUGGUAUUUGUGUUGUAACCGCAAAUCUUAUUUUUACUUAAUUGAACUACAUGAAAUUCAUCGAUGAUGCAUACAGAAUAUGAUACUGGUAAAUAUAAUAUAUGAUUCUUACACGUACUGGAUUAU